rnacentral:rRNA from 1 species
AUUGAACGCUGGCGGCAUGCUUUACACAUGCAAGUCGAACGGUAACAGGGAGCUUGCUCCGCUGACGAGUGGCGAACGGGUGAGUAAUGCAUCGGAACGUACCCAGUCGUGGGGGAUAACGUAGCGAAAGUUACGCUAAUACCGCAUACGUCCUGAGGGAGAAAGCGGGGGACCGUAAGGCCUCGCGCGAUUGGAGCGGCCGAUGUCGGAUUAGCUAGUUGGUAGGGUAAAGGCCUACCAAGGCGACGAUCCGUAGCGGGUCUGAGAGGAUGAUCCGCCACACUGGGACUGAGACACGGCCCAGACUCCUACGGGAGGCAGCAGUGGGGAAUUUUGGACAAUGGGCGAAAGCCUGAUCCAGCCAUGCCGCGUGAGUGAAGAAGG